GUGCUUGCUUCGGCAGCACAUAUACUAAAAUUGGAAUGAUACAGAGAAGAUUAGCAUGGCCCCUGCGCAAGGAUGACACGCAAAAAUGUAGAAAUGUAUUAUGAACUC